AGGACGAACGCUGGCGGCGCGCCUAAAACAUGCAAGUCGAACGAGAAACCCGGGCUUGCUCGGGUGGACAGUGGCGAACGGGUGAGUAACACGUGAGGAACCUGCCCCGAAGACCGGGACAACACCGGGAAACCGGUGCUAAUACCGGAUACCUUCACCGAAUCGCAUGGUCUGGUGAAGAAAUGGAUUCCGCUUCGGGAUGGCCUCGCGGCCUAUCAGCUUGUUGGUGAGGUAAUGGCUCACCAAGGCGACGACGGGUAGCUGGUCUGAGAGGAUGUCCAGCCACACUGGGACUGAGACACGGCCCAGACUCCUACGGAGGCAGCAGUUAGGAAUCUUGCGCAAUGGGCGAAAGCCUGACGCAGCGACGCCGCGUGCGGGAUGAAGGCCUUCGGGUGUAAACCGCUUUCAGCAGGGACGAAAUUGACGGUACCUGCAGAAGAAGCCCCGGCAACUACGUGCCAGCAGCCGCGGUAA
rnacentral:rRNA from 1 species